CUUACACAUGCAGUCGAACGAUGAACCGCUUUCGGGCGGGGAUUAGUGGCGAACGGGUGAGUAACACGUGGGCAAUCUGCCCUGCACUCUGGGACAAGCCCUGGAAACGGGGUCUAAUACCGGAUAUGACUGUCCGCCGCAUGGUGGAUGGUGUAAAGCUCCGGCGGUGCAGGAUGAGCCCGCGGCCUAUCAGCUUGUUGGUGAGGUAGUGGCUCACCAAGGCGACGACGGGUAGCCGGCCUGAGAGGGCGACCGGCCACACUGGGACUGAGACACGGCCCAGACUCCUACGGGAGGCAGCAGUGGGGAAUAUUGCACAAUGGGCGAAAGCCUGAUGCAGCGACGCCGCGUGAGGGAUGACGGCCUUCGGGUUGUAAACCUCUUUCAGCAGGGAAGAAGCGAGAGUGACGGUACCUGCAGAAGAAGCGCCGGCUAACUACGUGCCAGCAGCCGCGGUAAUACGUAGGGCGCAAGCGUUGUCCGGAAUUAUUGGGCGUAAAGAGCUCGUAGGCGGCUUGUCACGUCGGUUGUGAAAGCCCGGGGCUUAACCCCGGGUCUGCAGUCGAUACGGGCAGGCUAGAGUUCGGUAGGGGAGAUCGGAAUUCCUGGUGUAGCGGUGAAAUGCGCAGAUAUCAGGAGGAACACCGGUGGCGAAGGCGGAUCUCUGGGCCGAUACUGACGCUGAGGAGCGAAAGCGUGGGGAGCGAACAGGAUUAGAUACCCUGGUAGUCCACGCCGUAAACGGUGGGCACUAGGUGUGGGCAACAUUCCACGUUGUCCGUGCCGCAGCUAACGCAUUAAGUG
rnacentral:rRNA from 1 species